rnacentral:lncRNA from 1 species
AGAUCACCAUGGUGACUUGCAAACAACUCACUGUAUUUUGAUAUCAAACUAUUUGAGUUUAUAAUUCAGUGAUGGAAGAUUUUUGGAUGCAGUCAAAUACUUGUCAAGUUGGUAUGUGAGUCAAGAUGGGAUUGACUCCUCCGAAUUAGUAGGAAUUAAUGUAUCAAUAUAUUUUAAUUUAGCAAAAUCUAAGUUCGAAUAAUCUA